rnacentral:misc_RNA from 1 species
GGAAUGAUCCCACUUGCCCACGUACAGAUAUUGUGGGCUGCUAUUAUUCAUAUAUACAUACCUACGUGAAAGGGCUAGCGUUCCGUAUUGCAUCUCUCCGCACCUUCCCAUUAGGAUAAGCUUCGCGCUCCCCGCAAGACGCGGGAAACUCUGUCACCGCUGCCCCAUUCAAACACUCCUUCUUUCUCGCUUCCUGCGCUCUCGCGACGCUCACGCCUUUUCUGUUUCGUGCUUCGAGGGCAGGUAGACGAGGGUACAAUGAACGCAUCAUCGUUGUUGCUUACGCCGGCGGCGGUGCCUCGGCAAGAAUCGUCCGCAGCAUCCUACCUGACCUCCUCGCCGCUGCUGGUCGACGUGGUGCCGUUCGAGGCUUCGCUGCAACGCCUUUUGUAUGAGAAGGUUUCGACAGACGAGCAGAUGUGCAGCUACUCGGUGCAGCAGGCGUACCGCGGGCUUCUGUACGGUGUCCGUGCAACCACGCUCACGUUGACGGGGGCAGGGAUAGGCGCCGCGAAUCAUGAGCCUGCGUUGGCCCCUUCCAAAGAGGGCGAGACGCAUCGCGACGCCGCGUUGUCAGCUGCGACGGCGACGGACGCGUGCGUGCUUCGCGGGUGGCAAGCGGUGCUGUAUCGCAUGGCGCUUGUGGCCACCCGCUCUGCUGCGGACUUGGAGUGUGCCAUCUUUUUGAGCACACGCAUUCUCUGUGACCCGGCGACGGCCCACGGUCAGGGCAACGAGCGUCCAUGCUGCACGCAUGAGUGGACGCAAGCGCUAUUGCAAGGGCUGCCACUGAGGGGUUUUGUGAUGGGCAGCAGCGAGCACAAGGAGCUCGAUGACCGAUUUGUUCGGCUCGUGCAUGCAAACCGACGGUACCAGCUUGGAUUUCUUCUCAUCCUGUCGAACACGCUUCGCAUGUUGGCCACCGGCCACGUCGAGGGCCAGCGACUGUGCGCCGAACACACAGAACUGUUCACAGGCAUUGCACAGAGCAUGGUGCCGGCUGUUGCGAGCUACGUGGAGGAGUCGAUGCGCGAGAGCGCACUGCACGCCGCGAGGAGGACGGAUGCGGGCGGCGCCGCCCCGCUGCCGAGCCGGCUGACGGUUGAGCUGAAUCACCUCGUCGUGCACUGUGUGUACUGGCUCACCACGGACGUGCUGCUGGCGCACAUGGACGCCGAGGCCGACUCAUCCGUGGACACCAAAGAGGCAGCACUCAAGUCAAGGAGGCAGAAGAAACGCCCGCCGGUGCUCGAUCGUGACCUUCCAGCGUGCCUGUGGGGGUGCGUCACAAUGGUCCGCAACGCGCUGCGACGCGGUUUUCGUUGGCUUGCCGAGGAGUUUGACCACCGCGGCCCCCGCACAGCAGCGACGCCGGCAACGGCGCUGCUGUCAGCUGUCUCGAAGCAGCUCGAGGACGUCUUCACAGAUGUGGUCAAACACCAGGAACUGCUGCAGUACUCGCUCCUCAACGCGACGCGCGAGUUCAACGGGGCUUCAUCGCACAACGCACAGAGUCUGACGGAGAUGGUAUGGGCCCACACGCUGCAGAUGUGCUUCCUUGUUCGCAACUUGACUGGUGUGUGGGUCGCCGUGCAUGGAGGCCUGGGCGUGCCGACGACGUCGGCAGGUUUGGUUCUGCCAGCGUACAGGGACGUUUUGAUGUUCAUGGCCAGCGCCCUUCUGCGCGUGCCCACCCUGCACGAUGCGAAGGAGAACGAGCGGACAACCUUCAUGGCGACCGAUGCGGCUUUAAGUGCGUGCCUCGCGCUCGUCGCAGCCGCACCCACCACAACGCUGCAGGCGGAGUUGUGGGCCACAGACAGCGGUGUGACACAACAGAUCCACGCUCUUCUGGUACAGCGGGCGUUGCGGUACCGCAAUGAGCGAGUGCUUCGGUUAGCCUCACUGCUUUCGCGCGCCGUGCUAGACGCGGCGGUGCGAAGCGGCGCUCUCGCUGGCUUCGCCGCGGACUCGUCCGACCAGCUGCUAGAGCUACUCGAGAGCGAGGACGACGCCGCGUCGCGGUGCGUUGGUGAGCUGCUGUGCGUGUCUAUUCUUGAGCACCCAUACCGUCUUAUCCCGGCGCUGUUUCGUAUGCUGGAGCACGGUAGCACGGCCACGCGGCGACAUGUGCUGGAGGUGCUGUGUAACCUACCGGACCUCGUCUCGGAGCAGCGCGCCGCGGAGGAGGACACAGCGGAGGAACGUCCCUCGCGCUCCAGCGCGCCGGAUACCGUGGCGCCGUGGUUUGGUGGCCAUUCGAAGUCUAUAGGCGCACGCCGACGCCACGUACUCAGACUCCUUGCGGAGAACCUGUUGCUGCGGCUGCCGGACGAGGAGCUGUGCGUGCGGCUGCUGAGCUCGUCCUUGUUUGCCAAGGUGCACCCGGACGACGUGCUGCUCCCGCUCUUGCACCUCUGUGUGCAAAGAGAUGACACGGGACGGAAGCAAAGCGCCGCGCUGUCGGCGUUGACCUCCGUUGUCACCGCACACACGGACACAGCGGAGACGUACCUCCUGCUGUUGCAAUGCGGGUAUCAGUGCCAGUCCGCGGCGAACGGCGGCACCCUCAGCGCUGUAGUCGCGCCUGGAGGGAUCAAGAGGAAUACCGACGGUGUAGACAGCGAGCAGAACCCUACUAUGGUGCGGCGACCGACUCCGCAGACGCCAGGCGACAUUCUAUCACAGGCCCUCCUCUACUCAGCUGAUGGUAUUGCUGGCUCGGCGCACGACUUGUCCUCAACACCGGCUGCCCUGCCGACCACAGCGGCCGAGAUGGACCCAUCAUCUUCUGAAGCGCGCGCCGGCAACUGGCGUCGCAAGGAAGCGCAGUUGCAGACGGCGCUUCUGACGCUCACAGAUCGGUGGGUGCGGGCGGCGGCAGCGAGCUGGACGUACGCUUGUCAUUCCCUUCCUCUCCUUCAGUUUCUGGCCCGUCAAGCAAACCGCGGAGCGGGUGACGGCACAGCUGAUUAUGCCAGCGACUCUGGUGCCCCUGUCGUAGAGUGGGUGCAGUGGGCCAUGAAGUACAUGGUGCGGCUUACCGCCUCGCUUACCGGCCUCGUCAACGAUGACCUCUCGCCAGCUGCCCAGGCUCGCUUAAACAAGAUGCACCUUCGAGCCAUCUGGGACACGUUCUUUGCACGUGCGUCGGCCACGGAAGGACCGCCUGAUGACAGGUGGGCGCGCAUUGCUUGCCGUGCAGGGGGCACCGGCAGCGGGGCCGACGCAGGCGCGUCGGCGCGCCUGCACGCACUGCUGCUGCCGCUCCUGUGCUUACGCAGUUGUGCCCCCAAAACAUUCGCCGUUGCAGACGCGACAUUCGUGACGGAUGCAGUGGAUUCACCUGAGGAGGAGGACGACGACGAUGACGUUGCCACUAUUGUGCGCCGACUGUGGCGAGUCCUCUGGCGCGGCGUCACAAUGGAGGCGAAGUCGGAUGCGACGAUUUUUGCCGCGUACCCGGAAAUUCAGCGGGUUGCGUUGGAAGUGGUGUGCCGCUUUCCGGCGAGGCUCUUCUUCCACGCGUGGACGCGGUGGACAGCGGCACAGGCAAAAGACAAUGAGCCCUCCAACGCCUCGAACUCGCCGGGUGGCGAGCUGUCGUCGUCGAGGAUGUUUGCGUAUCGGGUGUAUCUCUUCGGCGUGUCAUCGUACCUUGCCGCUGCGAGUGUGCAGACAGCGUCGCGGCACAGCGACCCAUCGGCAUCGACGGCGGCGCCUCUUUCAGCAGAUCACGGCAGUUACUUGGCCAGUGACUUGCAGGUUGUCCUAGAGUACCGCGCCACGCUGGAGCGACUGUUGACUGUCACGUUGCCCCAAUGGCUGAUGGAAGAGGAAGGGGACAUAUCUGUCAACUUGUCAUCGUCGCAGCAGGGGAACUCAGUGGGAGAAGCCGGCGAAGCGGGGCCAGGGAUACCUAUCAACCAGGGCUCGAGCGAAAAGGCGGAGGCCAUGAAACAGCGACUGUGCGUCGCCGCUAUCGAUGCUGCAGCCGUCGUCGGCGUUGUGACGCUAUCCAAAACCGACGGUUUUCCAACGUCAUCUUCUCUACCGACUUCCGGCAACGGUUACACCUCCGCUCUCUACGCCUUGUGCAACAGCCUCCUUGAGACGCCGCUGACAGGGUUGGCGAAGGCGUACAGAGACGCCGAGAAGCGCGAGACGUCGGAGGAGCUGUCGAGGUACGACGACGCUGGCAGUGAAACCGAUUGGGCCCGGCAGCUGGCGCGUUUCCAGCUAUGCAUCCGCGUUCAUCAGUGCGUGCUGAACGCCAUCUCUCUUCACCCCGCCCAUGCGAAGGGUCUGCUGCUGUGUUGGUUUCGCGGCUUCCUCCCCCCGAUUGUGGAGCUGUCGAACGCUGCUUGCAGAAGUGUGGUGGGGAGAGAACGGCACGAUUGUCGUGCAGCCGUGGACGCAUGCAGUGUCAUUUUUCAGGCUGUUCUGAUGGCGCGCAAGAUCGGCAGCCCCACUGCCCCUGCCUUGACCAACUCGGCAGAAGACAAGUCGUCGGCCUCGUCGUCUCUCCUUUUCCGGCUUGCGUGGGAGGAGAGGGAGGCGCUGGUGAGCUUUUCCCUCGGAUGCGUGCGGUUUACGGCGUCGGCAGCGGUGCAAAUCGUCGGCGUCCGCCUCCUCUCUGCGGUCCUUGUCGCUGCUCCCGAGCUCUUCCUGAGCAUGGACGGAAUGAACACGCAGAUGGUCACGUCGACGCCUUCCACCCGUAUGGGCUUUUCAUCUUCACCCUGGUGCGCGCUCGAAGAUGGGCAGCGGCUUCUGAGCUCCGCCGCGUCUGCGCUGCAGCCCAUCGCCCUCAUGCACCCCGAUCGCCCCACCCGCGUUCUGGCUGAUGAGGUGUUGCGAAUGCUGGAGAAAGCGGCAACGGCGAGCGGCACGUGAUCACCUGGACACGAGCGCGAAGGAGGAGGUGGACUCGAGGGCUCGCGCGUGCCAUUGACCCCUUCGCACCACCACCCUCUCUGCGCGGCGGAGGUGAUGCCUGCAACAGAGCUGCUUUAGCACUGCCAAAAAAAAAGAAUCGUAAUUCACACUAGCACUCAUAUAUUCACAAACAAAAACGUGGCAUCGGCGUCUGGAUGACGUGCGGUCUCUCGAGUACGGGGGCGCAAAAGAAGCGCCAGAACGCCGAGUUUGUUUAUUGACUGAACAUCACGCGC